rnacentral:tRNA from 1 species
AGUAUAUUAGCUUAGUGGUAGAGCGUUAGAACAUCUUUUUAUGUAAUUCUAAAGACAUCAGUUCAAAUCUGAUAUAUACUUCA